AGUGAACGCUGGCGGUAGGCCUAACACAUGCAAGUCGAACGGCAGCACAGUAAGAGCUUGCUCUUACGGGUGGCGAGUGGCGGACGGGUGAGGAAUACAUCGGAAUCUACUUUUUCGUGGGGGAUAACGUAGGGAAACUUACGCUAAUACCGCAUACGACCUACGGGGGAAAGCAGGGGAUCUUCGGACCUUGCGCGAUUGAAUGAGCCGAUGUCGGAUUAGCUAGUUGGCGGGGUAAAGGCCCACCAAGGCGACGAUCCGUAGCUGGUCUGAGAGGAUGAUCAGCCACACUGGAACUGAGACACGUUCCAGACUCCUACGGGAGGCAGCAGUGGGGAAUAUUGGACAAUGGGCGCAAGCCUGAUCCAGCCAUACCGCGUGGGUGAAGAAGGCCUUCGGGUUGUAAAGCCCUUUUGUUGGGAAAGAAAAGCAGCAGGUUAAUACCCCGCUGUUCUGACGGUACCCAAAGAAUAAGCACCGGCUAACUUCGUG
rnacentral:rRNA from 1 species